rnacentral:rRNA from 1 species
UACGUAGGAGACGAGCGUUGUCCGGAAUUACUGGGCGUAAAGCGCGUGUAGGCGGAUGAGCAAGUCUGCUGUGAAAGCUCCUGGCUUAACCGGGAGUGGUCGGUGGAAACUGCUCGUCUGGAGGACGGUAGAGGUAGGUAGAAUUCCCGGUGUAGUGGUGAAAUGCGUAGAGAUCGGGAGGAAUACCUGUGGCGAAGGCGGGUCUCUGGGCCGAUAUUGACGCUGAGGAGCGAAAGCGUGGGGAGCGAACAGG